UGUCGUUAGUUGCCAGCAUGUUAUGAUGGGACUCUAACGAGACUGCCUACGCAAGUAGAGAGGAAGGUGGGGAUGACGUCAAAUCAUCACGGCCCUUACGUCCUGGGCCACACACGUGCUACAAUGGUAUGGACAAUGAGCAGCCAUCUGGCAACAGAGAGCGAAUCUACAAACCAUAUCACAGUUCGGAUCGGAGUCUGCKACUCGACUCCGUGAAGCUGGAAUCGCUAGUAAUCGGAUAUCAGCCAUGAUCCGGUGAAUACGUUC
rnacentral:rRNA from 1 species